CCGAACAGAAUCAGUCAGUGGAGUUUGGUCGCCGCUUCGGGCGCCGCGACGCUCCUUCCAGGCGGGAGUCUAAAUUUACCGUCGUCAGUCCGUAGCCUGUGCCCUCGUUGUCGUUCUCGUUUGUUAGUCGAUGAGUUCUAACGUACACGAAAAUUGUUGAUCCGCAACAGCAGCAGCAGCAGCAGCAGCCCGGUUUAUCGUCGACGGUGGUGAACGAAGCGGUUUCGACGUCCCGGAACCACAGAGCGUCAGUGAUACGGGAAACUUUUCAAAGUUUCAUAAAUAUUAUUAACGUUGUAUCAACACGCGAUAUACGUACCAAUUCGUACGAAAGUGGAAGACCCGCCAACGAUUGACGUUGACGUCUACGUUUUAUUUAACUUGGCGGUACCCGCCGAGCGGAUGAAACUCUGCGGAUAAAUAUAGACUUGAGAAAAAGACAUAGGAAUACCGAUGUACCGAAUCGGCGCCUGUGACGUCGAAGAUUGUCUGGAAGAAAACCUCGGCGAUUCAGGAAGUUUACGUUCCCAGAACACCAGACAAAUCCAAGAUCUCACGGUUUACAACUACUGCGGUCAUACCGGGAAAAAGCAUUAUCGCCGAAGAAUGUUACGAGCAAGCGCGAGGGUUGUUUGUAUUUUUUGAAUACGUGUCUCUACGUAUAGUUGUGGACGUUUAAUCCGUAGAGUGACGGCCGGGGGUGGAAAGCUGCAGGAUAGAUAGAAAGCGGCGUAGCGAGAGAGAUUACGUGAGACGACAGACGAUCGUGUUAACCACUUCGUAAAGUGUAGUUUUAUCGUAAAAGUUGACGGUAAUUAACGCCAAGGGAAUAUAUCUAGAUCUGUUAAUCGUCUAACCAUCGUAAGACCUGUACUUGGGCGUUAGUUCGCAACCCUAAUUAGUAACAGCUGCUCGGUCUUUGUUUUGUAUAAUUGUACUGCCCAAUUAUAAUUUAUCGGGGCAAAGUUUACCGCGGUUAUUACCUCAAUUUGUGCUUCUGGUUUUAUCACUCACAAUCAGCAAAAUACAAGAGCUACCUCAGGUAACGCGACACUCCGCAUAGAAAAGAAGUUGAGUGUUGGCCACCCGAUACACCGGUGAUUCAACGGCGAAUGAGAAGAAUCCAGUGUUUCUUCGUAAAAAUAAAAACACAAAAAUCGAGAAUAGCGACCAUGUCCUCGCGGUGUUUUUAGUUCGAGGGUGCUGCUGAUUCCAGGUGUGGAUCUCGCGAAUGAGAUGUCAGUGUUGUGCGUGCUUUGGGCAACGCUGUCCAUCAUCGCUUCGGUACUCGCCUGCUCAGGAUUUUAUCUUCCAUAUUGGAUUCAGGGAAGGCUUUUGGGAAAGGCUGACGCAUAUUUCAGCUCCUUCCGACGCUGUAAUUAUCCCCGUCUCCGAGCACCAAACGCCGCACCGGAGAUAGUCUACGAGUGUGCACGAUACUCCAGCUUCUGGGACAUACCGAGCGCGUGGUGGCAGGCCAGCACAGUUACAAUGGGGGUUGGGGUCGCCUUGGCGGUCAUCGCGGCGCUCACUCUCCUCGCUGCGGCGUCUUCUUUCCUACCCCACAUUCUGAGGAUGACGAAGCCAACUCGUGCUUUGGGAUCGUUGCAGCUGAUCGCCGCGGUGAUGAUGUGCGGGGGCAUAGUGAUGUACCCCGUGGGUUGGGACAACCGGGAGGUCAGGGAAUCCUGCGGCAACGGAGCCAACGUCUAUAACUUGGGAAAAUGCUCGGUGUCGUGGUCCGUGCACUUGCUUCUCGGAUCAGUGGCUCUGCUACUGCUCUGUUUUGGGCUGAGCUUUUGCGCUGCGAGGCACAAGCCUUCGCAACCUCAUCCCCUACGAAUUUGACAAUCAAGAUACUCCCAGUCGAUCCAAGCGUACGCCCAACCGGAGACCGAAAUCAAGGACACCGAUCUCUCGUUCGUUACGAUUUGUUGAACGCCACGCGUCACCUCGCGUUCCACGAACUACGUCGGAUAUUCGCGGAGAGUCGAAAGGAAAAGGAACAGAUCAAUGACCAAUAACAUUCGGGGAACCGUAAUGGCUGGAUAACGGUCGAGUCAUUCGAAUCAAUCGACAACGAGGAAGCAUUAUCCGUCAUCAAAACUUGCCAUUCGACCGGCGAAAACUGAUAUCGAUAUUAUUACAACGACAACUCUACGAAAGCGUGGGUAUAGUUUUCGUACAUUUGGUUCGAUUGAACGAAACUGGGUCCAUUACACCGAGGAUUCGUACGAAGGGAGGUUCCGGAAGAGCAUCGACAUCGAUUCACUCGCUUACGUUCCAUCGCGAACAAUAAAAUCGAGACGUGUGUUCAACCGUCACAAUUAUUAAACUUAAACUUAAACUCGAGAAACGAAGGAGGGAAAAGAAGUCACGGACUUGAACGUAGUUGACUUGACUUUUAAUUUUAUCGCUUCUCCGUAUUGAAAAUUAUUAUUUUUGUUUUUUCUUGAAUCUCUUUCAUUUUACCGUGCAAAGAGGGAUGAGUUGGCAAGCCCUACCAUAUUGAGGGCUGUACUUAUUUCAGACAGUUUUAACGUUGGCACAGAAGAGGAGCGUGAACAGGGUGAACGAUAAAAUGAAAGAAAGGUCGGAAAACACGGAUGUAAUACGUGACAGUGACAGCUGAGAGUUAAAGUAUUUUGCCCAAUUAAACUGUCGCCAGUCAAGCGAAUCCUUUUAUUUCUGUAGAUGUUCUCGUGGUCGUCAAAAUAGAGAUGAUGUACAUCGAAAAACAUAGGAAAAAAAAUUUACAAUUGCAAAAAAAUAAAUAUGAAAAAUCAAAAAAAAUGUAGAUGAAUAGAUGAAAUAUAUGGGAAAGUGGAGAAAACGAGAAAAAAAUUAUAAUGGUCCGUAGAACCGCGCGCGUGCUGUGGAUGUAAUAUAUAUUAAUAAUAAGAAGUAUAGCUGCAACGCGAGGGAUGUAGAUGCAUUUUCCGGUUAUACAGAAACAAGACGACGGGUAAGUGGCGGUGCAGGGAAGAAGCAAACGCUACGUUUAUAUUCUCAGGCGAGACGAUGGCUAGAGCAAGCGAUUAUGUAAAUUUUAAUGUAAUGUUCCGGCCUCGGGACCGCCUUAUAGCUACGCAGUUUAUACCCAUAACCCACCCGCCGUGAACACUCAUAAAAUUACGCCGGGUUUUUCCGCAAUUAGACUCGAAAAUUCCGCCACAAUCCGACGCCGCGAAAAACGAAAGAGAAGGUACCGCUCCGCAAUUUAUUUUACUCAUUACCAGGCAUUAAGAGAAAUUCCUGCUGGGGCAUUCUUGAACAUUCAUAUUUCUAGAAUUUUUUCAGAAUUUAUGUUACACGGAGACGAAAAGUAAUCGUACCGCGACUCUUGCCUUUCCUAGUUCGCGGAUGGAAGCCCACGACAAACGCUGUAACACACCAUUUUUCAGAGUUCUUCCCACAAUGAAUAUAUUCGGAUUUUUGGAUCCUCCCUCCACGUGACGCGAUAACGCCGAACGGAAAUCAUCCCGCAAAGCAGUACCCGAACCCACCCUGUAUCGGUACAACCGAUAAUUUCUGCUGUAACCCGUAUGACGCACGGGCAAAGCGUCAUGCCGUUGACAAAGCUGCCAUCACGCCGUAAGCAUCAUAUUUUGGUAGAGAGAAUACCUUCGCAUGAAGCUACCCGAUAUGUCUAUUAUAUUCGAGAGUAACUAUAUCUGUCCAUCGGAGUGAAGAGUCGGCCCGCCGCGCGUACGCUCGGUGAGCUGAACUCGUGGUUAGCCCGCGGGUACCUUGCUUAUGGCACACAUAUUUACCAAUUUGCAACAAAUUAGAUUUGACACGGGACGGAUGUAUUUUACAGGCAUUGAUAGAACACGCGGUCGACAAGCGUUACCAAAGGCCUUGUAGCCGAGCCCCGAUGACGUCCACGCGAAAGCACGAGGUAACGACCAACGUCGCCUCCCGCACGCCGGGUCGAUUUUACCUCUCCCUCUUCCCAUACCCAUUUUCUACUCACCACCGGCUCGGCGGCACAUACCUACCUACCUUCGUGAAAUUUACAUCCACAUUCCACGUGUGUACGGACGUACGUACCUGUGGAGAACUUGCCAGAGAAACGGAACACGGAGGUCAUACCUAAAGCGCGCAACGGUUAUACUUGACCCGCAAAAGGCGUUGUAACAUUUUUACUCCGGUAUUUGUUUAUACGUGUCCCAUAAAUUCGUAAUGUUCGUAUCUACGGUACACAAUUUUCAAUUCCUCACCUAGUGAAUUGUAAAAUUGAGCGGGAGGAAGGGACGCAGAGAGGGUAAUUGUACAGAGAAUGAAAUAUAACUGUAACUUACGUGAAAAUUUUCCUUCCCGAUAGGUUGGAGACUAUGAUUCUAAAUCGUAUGAUUGCAGGGGAGCGACGAGCGAAUCGGAAACUGGAGCGACGAUUGAAUCAUAUCGGAUCUGCGAUUGUACUCGUCCGUAUCAUUCGAAUCGACGUUCAUUCCGCGUCCGUUCAACGAACAGAAUUUCCAGAUAAUUUUUGCGGAGACAUCGAGGUGUUUCCUUGUUUCAAGGGAUUUUCGUUGUUUGAGCUCGCGAGGUACAUUAAUUAGCCGCUAGAACGUUUCUAGCCAGCUCCCUCCUUCUCCGGAUCAUUCGAAAAACUUGAAUUUGUUCACAAACCCGUGUACCAGAACUUGCUUUGAACGUGACCAGGUAUAAUAAUCCGAUAACAUCGCAAUCACCCCGGCGCGCGGUAUCUAAUUCAUUGAAGAAAAUGAAUGAACGUCAAAGCUCUCCUGCAACAAUGAUUAUACAUCUAAUAUCGCGAAAGUCUUACUACAAAUCAACGUACAUCAACCGCUGUGAUUUAUACGGUGUAAGACCGUUUCGGAGGACCAUUUUCUUUACAGAAAUAACGAACCAUAAAAUGUAAUGCAACGCAAGAUAUGGAGAGAAAAAAAAAAAAAGGAAA